UAGCAACUGCUUAAAACUCAAAGGACUUGGCGGUGCUUUACACCCUUCUAGAGGAGCCUGUUCUAUAAUCGAUAAACCCCGAUAAACCUCACCAACCCUUGCUAAUACAGUCUAUAUACCGCCAUCUUCAGCAAACCCUAAAAAAGGAACAAGAGUAAGCAUAAUAAUAGCACAUAAAAACGUUAGGUCAAGGUGUAACCUAUGGGUUGGAAAGAAAUGGGCUACAUUUUCUAUUUCAAGAA
rnacentral:rRNA from 1 species